UACGGGGGGGGCAAGCGUUGUUCGGAAUUACUGGGCGUAAAGGGCUCGUAGGCGGCCAACUAAGUCAGACGUGAAAUCCCCCGGCUUAACCUGGGAACUGCGUCUGAUACUGGGAGGCUUGAGUAUGGGAGAGGGAUGUAGAAUUCCAGGUGUAGCGGUGAAAUGCGUAGAUAUCUGGAGGAAUACCGGUGGCGAAGGCGGCAUCCUGGACCAUUACUGACGCUUAAGCGCGAAAGCUAGGGGAGCAAACGGG
rnacentral:rRNA from 1 species